rnacentral:rRNA from 1 species
AACGAACGCUGGCGGUGCGUCUUAAGCAUGCAAGUCGAACGGCAAGAAAGUGCUUGCACUUUCCUAGAGUGGCGGACUGGUGAGUAACGCGUAGGUGAUCUACCUUUAAGAUGGGGAUAGCUUUUAGAAAUAAGAGAUAAUACCGAAUGUGCUUACGAUGUUUGACAUUGUAAGGAAAGGAGCGUUUGCUCCGCUUAAAGAUGAGCCUGCGUCCCAUUAGCUAGUUGGUGAGGUAAAGGCCCACCAAGGCUGUGAUGGGUAUCCGACCUGAGAGGGUGAUCGGACACAUUGGGACUGAGAUACGGCCCAAACUCCUACGGGAGGCAGCAGCUGAGAAUCUUCCGCAAUGGACGAAAGUCUGACGGAGCGACACCGCGUGAAUGAUGAAGGCCGAAAGGUUGUAAAAUUCUUUUGCAGACAAAGAAUAAGUGCAGGAGGAAAUGCCUGCAUGAUGACGGUAGUUAUGCGAAUGAGCCCCGGCUAAUUACGUGC